GCGACGUUCUGCUAGUGGUCCAUGCAGUCGGCCUUAAGAUCCGAUGGGAGCAAUCCCUCGCGCGUUCGAAUCGCGCACGUCGCA